GACCUUCCUUUAAGUCCACUUCAGUGCAACACCAAGUGGUUGACCGAAGCUUCCCUAAAGUCCAAUCUCAAGGAGUGUAGUAUCGAGUCUCAACCAAGCCCCAGUCGGAACCGAAGUCAGCUAGCUCACUACUUUCUACUGGCCAGGAUGAGUCAAUUAGGGUUCUAAAGGUCUGGUUAAUGCUUUGAUGACACCACGCGGAAGCCAAAUUUUUCCUCAAAUAACAUGAGGACCAUCAGGACAACCAAAGUGUCAC
rnacentral:lncRNA from 1 species